rnacentral:rRNA from 1 species
GACGAACGCUGGCGGCGUGCCUAAUACAUGCCAGUUGAGCGCUGAAGGUUGGUACUUGUACCAACUGGAUGAGCAGCGAACGGGUGAGUAACGCGUGGGGAAUCUGCCUUUGAGCGGGGGACAACAUUUGGAAACGAAUGCUAAUACCGCAUAAAAACUUUAAACACAAGUUUUAAGUUUGAAAGAUGCAAUUGCAUCACUCAAAGAUGAUCCCGCGUUGUAUUAGCUAGUUGGUGAGGUAAAGGCUCACCAAGGCGAUGAUACAUAGCCGACCUGAGAGGGUGAUCGGCCACAAUGGGACUGAGACACGGCCCAAACUCCUACGGGGGGCAGCAGUAGGGAAUCUUCGGCAAUGGACGAAAGUCUGACCGAGCAACGCCGCGUGAGUGAAGAAGGGUUUCGGAUCGUAAAACUCUGUUGGUAGAGAAGAACGUUGGUGAGAGUGGAAAGCUCAUCAAGUGACGGUAACUACCCAGAAAGGGACGGCUAACUACGUG